AGUAACGAUUUCUUUUUUCAUCCCAGAAAUUACCAAAGUAGACUGUACUUUGAGGUAUAACUCAGACAAAGUGGGUAGGGAAAGUCACCCUUAAUCUAUCAAUUUCCAGAGCAUCUAGACCAAUGAAUUCAUGGGACAUUGGAAAAUUACCAAAGUAGACUGUACAUAACUCAGACAAGAUGGGUAGGGAAAGUCACCCUUAAUCUAUCAAUUUCCAGAGCAUCUAGACCAAUGAAUUCAUGGGACAUUGGAAUAUUCCCGGGAGAUUUUCAUGGGAAUGCUGAUCAAAUGAAAAGAUCAAGAAAAUAGCAAAUAAGCUCACUGAUGAAAGCACUCCUGAAUGUUUUCUUCUGAUAAAUUGUGAAGAAUUUACCCUUAGAGAGAAAUGAGGGUUCUCCAUAAAAUAAAAUGUUUUUAUAACAUUUUCCUCAAAAGAAUGAUAACAUGGUUACACUUUUCAAGAUUACUCUUCUUUUUUCUUUAGGGGAAGUAUUUCUGGUAAACAUUGUGCUGCAAGGGUGUGAUAUAAUUUUUCACACAGGCUAAACUUGUAAUUAAUAAUAAAAUUCUAA